GACGAACGCUGGCGGCGUGCUUAACACAUGCAAGUCGAACGGAAAGGCCCUGCUUUUGUGGGGUGCUCGAGUGGCGAACGGGUGAGUAACACGUGAGUAACCUGCCCUUGACUUUGGGAUAACUUCGGAAACUGGGGCUAAUACCGGAUAGGAGCUCCUGCUGCAUGGUGGGGGUUGGAAAGUUUCGGCGGUUGGGGAUGGACUCGCGGCUUAUCAGCUUGUUGGUGGGGUAGUGGCUUACCAAGGCUUUGACGGGUAGCCGGCCUGAGAGGGUGACCGGCCACAUUGGGACUGAGAUACGGCCCAGACUCCUACGGGAGGCAGCAGUGGGGAAUAUUGCACAAUGGGCGGAAGCCUGAUGCAGCAACGCCGCGUGCGGGAUGACGGCCUUCGGGUUGUAAACCGCUUUCGCCUGUGACGAAGCGUGAGUGACGGUAAUGGGUAAAGAAGCACCGGCUAACUACGUG
rnacentral:rRNA from 1 species